rnacentral:rRNA from 1 species
UACAGAGGGUGCAAACGUUGCUCGGAAUUAUUGGGCGUAAAGCGCACGUAGGCGGUUCGUUAAGUCAGAUGUGAAAGCCCCGGGCUCAACUCGGGAAGUGCAUUUGAAACUGGCGGGCUUGAAUAUGGAAGAGGGUCGCGGAAUUCCCGGUGUAGAGGUGAAAUUCGUAGAUAUCGGGAGGAACACCAGUGGCGAAGGCGGCGACCUGGGCCAUUACUGACGCUGAGGAGCGAAAGCGUGGGGAGCGAACAGG